AUCUUUUCAUGUAAUUUUCGAAAAUACAUGGAUAAAACCAAAUUCGGUGUAAUAGAGUUACCCCACAGUGCCAUACGUGCAAAAAUAUGCACAGUUUAUACAGAGUACUUAUUUUUUCUGCUGUGGUGGGAUCAGUGGCCGCAAACCAUUCUUUUUGCCCUUUUGUCUUUUUCCACCGGCCAGCUGAAUGUUUGUGCAUCAGUGAAUCUGUCUUUUUCAACAAGUGCAUGACCCUGACUUUCAAAUCUAUUUGAAGGCUCAUGGCAGAGCUAAUGCUAACCGCUAUACUCACUGCUGCAAUGCCGAAUGAGAAGAAACGAGACAAUAAAUAAUAAAUGGUGCUCUUUAAGCUGUGUUCUUAACAUCAAAAAGUAAUGCCUCUCUCUAAUAUGCAUCUAACAUCCCAUAUUUAGUCCCCAGUGGAAUCUAAUGAAUAACAGAGCUAUUCCAAUUAGGUGCAGGAAGUUACUGUUAAUUACAUUCCUAAGUUCUAUUAUGUAGUUAGCAUGCAUUAAUCACUAUGUUAUUUUUUCAAAUGCUAUUUGUGGUUAAAGCCGAGUCAAAGUGUAUUUGAGGUGGAUUACGGCUCAACUGCUGGAUUUAAAGUUCUCAGAAAAACUGCAAUGGACUGUAAUGCGUUGGGCUGGUUACCAGACAAGAACAAACACAUUGUUAGAGCAACAUCAUUCAAUAAUACGCAUUCAGAUUCAUAUUGUUAGAGUUCAAAUACGGAAUUAUAAAAGCAAAGACCAGACGAGGCAAAGUCUAUUAUUAUACAGCUGCUCCAGAUCCAAACCCCUUUCACCCAACUGACAAAAGGUUUUGUGACCACGUAGGCAUGGUUACUAAAACGGAAAUGUUGACGUUAGAUGAAUAGUGGAGGGAUCUGCCAAGUUAUUGCAAUUCUUACUGUUUGGAAAAUUAAACUUUUGUUAUACGACAUUUAAUGGUUGUCAAAACAUUUCACUGAAAACAAAAAAAUAUUUAGUCAGCCUUGUGGUGUUGCUAGGAAAAAUGAGAGGAUCACCAAAGUCAUCGGGAUGAGCAGCAACUAAUGUCUGUACACAAUAUUUGGGCAAUGCGUCUUGUGGAUGCAGGGAACUUCCAACAUGGGAAAGGUUUCACCUAAAGGGACGGAUUAAAAAUGGGAGAAUCCCCAUAAUCAGUAGAAAAUUUAUCCUCUGGGAGCCCUGAAUGUUGGACCCGAUACGGUGGUCGGACAGACGGAGUGACGGACUGAGGUUUCCAUCCACCGAGCGAUGCUGCCGACGAGGAAAGACGGUAAUCUUAACAACGGAGCGAACAUUGACCACACUGAGGAGAAAAGCAUGUGGACGAGGGCUAAACAGAGACAAUCAUUGUUGUUCAUGAGGUCAAAGAGAGAGUGUAUAAAGACACACUUCCUUCUAAUCAAAUCCAGUGCAACAGUGUCCAGUUUCCUCCCCUGCGCUCUGUGUACUCCGCAAGGAGGAAAUGCACAACUAAACAGGAAAUGUCAGAUUAGAAAACCCGGACGUGAAAGUUAGAUUAUUUAAAUCACAAAGGAAAAUACUGUUGAAAAACAGAUAUUCGGACUCUUUCGUCCUGCACCACCAAGUUCCGCUUGGGUUCAGAUUUUUGUGUUUUUGAGAAGGCCACCUUGUUCACCCAUCCAUCAACAGUCAUCGGACCUCUGAAAGAGCUUCUAAUGGUCUGGCUGUGCAGUUAAACUCAGAAAUCAGCACGUAGAAGAAACAAACAAACACAAUACAAUUGCCAAAACAAUAGAGCUUGUCAACAUUUGGACCAUUUCUGCCCCCGCGGCCCCAAUAAGUAGACAAAAGCAUUAACGAGAGGAAGAGCUGGUUUGGGAGCAGGAGGUGGUGAAGGAAGUGGAGGACUGUAUCAGCGUAACCAUCUCUUCUGACCCCGAUCAGUUAUUCAAGAACCACGACAACCUAUUGGCAUCCAUUAAUCCUGAAUUGGCUCACAAUCAAUGAGCUCUUCAAUAGCUCCUUAUUCAUUCAUUCAUCGAUACCUAAAGACUACUCCUCACCCCCACGUGUCCCACCUGCCACAUGCUUGUCCCCGCUUCCCAAGUGCUACCGCUUUAUUUCAUGUCCAGUAACGGUCAGUUGGUUUGUCCACACAGAGAACAAAAGAUACCAACAAAUAUUGGAUGUUAUAUCGACAUGAGAUUUGUUACAGAUGCUCAUUGUUCUCAGAGGAUGAGUCCUAACAACGUUUGUUGAUCCUGACUGAAAUCGCGUCACUUAAUUCCACCAAUACUUUGGUUUAUGAUCAAAUCUCACCAGCCGAAGCUUUAUUUAACACUAGCAUGUUAACACACUGUGGAAGGAUGCUUGUAAUGGUCACGUUAGCAUUGUACAGUCUCACAGAGUAGAUUCAAUGGAUGGACAGCGGACGCCGGCACGUGACACUGACACUCGGUGAUCUCGUGCGCGUGUGAAUGGGCGUGUCAAUGCGCACAAAGUAAAUCAAUUAAGCAGAGGGAAUCUCCAGGGAGAGAGCGAGAGGUGCCGCUUCCUGUCUUCAAUUCCCCAAAGGCCCCUAAAAUACACACGUAAUUUAAAAUGUAAUGUGUGUUUCCACCACAAAGCCGUUUGCAAACCCAUAAAACUGCCUCCAACAGCAAGAAAUUCACUGUGAUUAAAUUCCCACCGCUUAUUCUUCAGCGUCAAACCAAUGUUGUUUAAUCAACUCCAUCUUUAAUCAAAUGAGGUUAUGAUGAACCAUAACGUCUAAUCCGGUCUCAUGGUACCUCAGGUGUUUUAGUCACAUAGACAAAAAAAAACCACACUCUAAGACUUGGAAAGGCUAAAGAAAGAAGGCACAACAAAACCACCAUUCCAGGUUGGAUUCACGGGUUGUUUAUUUACAUCACCGAUUACAGUAAACAAAGAAAAAUAUUUCCGUGAUGGUUUACACUGAAAACCGCUGCCGUGUCGUGUAGAGGUUGACAAGCCAAACCCCAGCACUCAAAGGUUGAACUGUCCCCCCGGGGGGGCGUGGGGGGGACCGGGGGUUACGCCGGGUGAUGGGGGGGGGGGUGUGCAUGUGGUGUGAUCGGGGUGGGGCGAGCGUCUGGGGCACGUUUAGCCUCUGCGAGGGAAAAGACCCAAACCUUUGCCUCUGAAAGGAAGGUCCACGGGGACAGACACAGACCAUUUUAUUAGAAAUUCAUGAAUGAAUUUAAGCUCCCGCGUUUGACCUAUGAGCGCUCGAUGAACACGGAGCAAAUGCAACAAAUAGGUGCGCCGUUUAAAGCAAGAGAUGCUGAUUGGAUCUCGCUAUUUACUCACAACAAUUGUGCUUUACGAAAGACAUCCCGCAGCAGUCCACCCUUAACCCUGUCUUCCUCACACCGCCCAUAGAUAAGGGCAGUGAGAGAGAAAGCAGCGUUUUAAUUGACACCCUUUAAGUUAUCCACAAGAUAAUUACGGCGAACAGACGGUGCAAAACGCAACAAUGGGAUUUUAUUUUUAUUCCGCUGGAGGUUUUGUCAGCGAGUUGCGAGCCACACGAAUGACACGCAAGCGAGGUAGACACACACAAAUAUGUACAUGUUAAUACACAGUGGAAAUUCAUACACACAAGCAGGUAUUGACACACAAAGGUCUCACGCCGCCUCGAAAUAAGCGGGAAAAGACGCCACAGCAGAGGACUUUUGUUAUCUCGUAGCAUCGAGGGGUCGCGGCUCUUUAAAGUCCAAACUGCCUCAAAGCAACGGUGCGUCCCACUGAGCUUAAGAGUAUGCGCUCCCUAUUUUAGUCCUAAUGCGAGAAUUAAUUAUGAAUUAAUUAACAUUACACUUAGGAGCAGCUUCGUCUAAAUCUCUUUCUUUCUGUGUAGUCAGGAAUAAUAGGAGCCAGAGCUAUUAAGACAAAGAGGAGGGAACCGAGAUAUGGAUGCAUCGUACGUGUGAGACUAUCUCCGGGGUAUGAAUUAGAGAAUGUGUGUAGAGUUUGUUUCUCCCGGCGAGCUAUUAAAUAUUUCAUGGAGGGGGAUAAAUACUAGGAGAAUGCUGCCCCCUCCCAACCUGAUCCACACUGCAAUUAGAGGCCCAUUAUCCCUCUCUCAACUCUCCCAGUCUGUACAAACUCGGCCUCAAAAGCAGCAAUAAAGGGCCCUGUGAUGAGGUAUGAUAACAGUAAUGACGAACAGAACACUUGUCUUUAGGAUUUAUAAUGAAACUACACAGUCUUACUAACCUGUGUAUUUUUUAUAGGUCAUUUCGCUAAAUAUCCCAGCCAGAGGAAACCCUCCAGCGUCACACCGUUGGGUUUCAUUCAUUUCAUUUCAUUUGACAUAGCAUGCUUCUGUGCUCUGGCAAUAAGGACACAGCAUUGCAGCAUAUUGGCAAGCUCAUUUGCUUUUCAUAGUGAGCGUUGUGUCCAAAAAAAAAAAAAAGUGCCCCCUGGGAAAAACACGUGUACGGGGGACUGCGGGCUCGCCGCCCCAGCAGCAGGUGGCCCAUUGCUGCCUAAUGAACACCGCAAUCUGUUACUAUCGCAGCGGUGCUUUUCACCAGACAAUUAGGCGACUAAGCAUGUCAUUAUUCCAGGCCAACAAGAAGAGCCUCUUCUCUAAUUUCAUCUUUUCAUUCCUGUUUACUCACCCACACUCCCCUCAUUAACGAGAGAUUUUCCAGUCCAUGCUAAUUGGUUUCAAUAACAUUCAUUUUAGUUGAAAGGAAACGAUUCUGUUAAUUGAGGAGCGCAGAGAGAGAGGAGAGAGGGAGCGAGGGAGGGAGGGAGGUAGGGGGAGAGGGGCUGCUUUUCAUUUUCAAGUGCGUCCAUGAGAUGACGCUUUUGAAAAAGCGCUCUACAGGUUCAGAGCUAAUGAAAUUAAGUGAUGCCGGCCGUGGUAAAAAGGAAAGCCCAAAUUAAAAGCAAUUUAUUUUCAUUGAGGCAUGUGGCAGUGAUCGGGCACAAUUAAUGGGCUGAGCAUAGACACGGAGAUAUGGGGAGAGAGAACAAAAAAAGACAAAGAUACAAAGAAAUGACUGGUGGCACAGAUGAGCAAAGAGUCUAGACCUGGACAGAUUUACUGUAAUGAUUUCUAUUGUUGUAUCUCUAUUUCUUUGUUUUAUAUUUUGCUACGUUUGAAUAGAAAAAUUAAGGCACUGGCGGCUCUAAUAUUUAAAAUAAUCUCAUACAAUUUGUAUGUGUGUCUAAAGGCUGGCUCUGAAUGAUGCUAUGGCUUGAUUUCAGUGCAUCAAUCAGGACUAAUUCCCUGUUACAAAAAUGUGGUUUUCCUGCAAAGAUCAACAAAUGUCAAAAUGUUGAUUCAGAAAUGUUCCUGUAAGCUUUUGCCCUUUUACUCAAUGAUACAACGUCAGCAUUUUAAACAAUUAUAGAAAUAAAAGUAUCAUUGUUUGCACGUGAAACAUGGCUUUCUUUAAUUGAGAAAAGGUUCAUAUCUUAAGGUUAAUUUAAUGUAACCUGUCCUGAGCUUUUAUUCCCAUCAUAGGAUCUUCAUCAAUAGAUAGUCAUACGAUCACAGAUCUUCUCUUUCUUGAGAAAUUAAAGAAUUUAUUGAUGACACCAAUUAAGUCUUCAUUUAUUAUUUUCUUUUCUUUUUCUGAACAUCUAAAACUCAAUGAAAACUGGACAAUGAUCAGCUGAUGAGGAUCAUGUGAUUGUGAUCGAAAGCUUGUAGAGAUCUUGAAUGGACUUGGACGACGGUUGGAUUGUUUUCACAACUAUUUGCCGUCUCCAGUGUCAAGAUGGAACUUCAUGACUCUCUUUUGAAAACUAUAGAAUGAUAACCAUUAUUCAUUUAUUAUCUGACAUCCUAUACGCAAGUUAUGGAAUUCUUCAUGAUUUUUGCCAUUCAGGUUUAAGUGCACAUCUCACAGCAAAACGUGUAAUAGCUAUGUUGUGGAACGUGUCACGAUUUCUCCACAAAAUUGUAGCUACGUCACUAGAGACUAAUAAACGGAAGGUCUUCUACAUUCUCUGAUAGAAGAUUAUGAAAAUAUAACGCAUACUUCUCGCUAGAAAUGCCAUCAAAAUGCAUACAAAUGCUGAUGCUUUCUUAAAAUAAUGUGUUUUUCACAGAUAAUAGACCGACAGAUAGUCACGUGACCUAGUUGCAAACAAAACGUUGUAUUCUCACGCUUUUGGGGAGAAAGCGUGAGAAUGCCACUUCCACAACGUAGCUAUUAUACGUUUUGCUGUGAGACUGGGUUGCCCAAACACAGACGGUUGCACACACAUAUUUGUUAUAAUGACAUAAUUUACAAUCAGAAACUAGCAUAUCAAUAUCUUUGCUAGCACAGUCUAACAUCAAGCAAUGCAUUUCUUCUAUUUCCAGACAGCGUCACCUGGUUCUCACAUCAAGUGUUGCAUCGUAACACCCGCGCGUGGGCCCUAACCCCCCCAACAGCCUUCAGAUACGGUCAGUCAGCUGCCUAAGCAGCCGUACAGCGGCUGCUUAGUGACGGCAGGGUGAGCGUGUCAAUGGCCUCCCUAAACAGCCUCGGCUGGGGGGGAGGGAGGGGAAGGCCGGUGGGAUGUUGUCGUCCCUUUUGCCACUCCACAGGCUGGAGGUGUGGCAGGUUGCAGCCUGUAAAGGCAUCUGGAGACCACAAGGAGACGAGACAGAAGGGUUGACUCAAGCAGCUGCAAUCAUUACUGAUCAAUUUGCUGUCACCAAUAAGGAAGAGAGGGGGGGGGCAAACAAAGGAAUUAUUCGCAGGCGACUGUGCUUUCUGUUUCCUAUCGAUUUAUCCGUCCCUGCCUGCGUUUCAGCCGACGAGGAACCAAACUAGUAUAAAGUAUGACUAAAUGCCCUGCUGCUCUCCGAGGAGCUGCGAGUGCGGAGCUAGCGGGGGAUCAGUGCAGUUAAUUUACAUAGCAUUUGCAUUAUGUCAGGACAUGAGCUACAAAUAGGUAUGAGUGUGUGGCUUAAUUAGAAAUGAGCCAGGCUUUUCAAAAACACUCUUUUGCAUCAUAAUUGAGUCAGCUCGGCGCCGGAGUAAACGGCGGUGAGUGGGGGAAAAGAUGCCUGUUUCAGAACACGCUCGGAGAUGAUUGGUAAUUAUGAUACACCAACCUGGGCUCAGAGCAAUUUGAAUUAUUUUUACACAAAACAUUAGUGUGUGCUUUGAACAACAGCGGAGGAAAGUGCCCUAUAAAAUCUGGGUCAAAAACAAUUAAAUAUAGGAUAAAUACUGAAUAUGAAUGACUUGUUUCCGGAGGGUGUUGCAACUUGAAGGUUGCCCGUGUUUCGGUAUGUGGGCGCCUACUGAUCAAGAAUGAGCAGACGUGUGUUCAUGACUGUUUUUAAACCAUAGAGGACCAUCGCUGACAUCAGAAGGUCUAAAGAACAACAGUAAACCCACAGUGGGAAAUCAGAUAAUAUAUACAGUAUGGUUGUUGUAGUAAUUGUAUCUACACCGUCGUUUCUGCAAACUAAUUAAAAUCAAGAGAUCUAUUAUGACUCAGACUAAGUUUAUGCAAGUAUUUACUUUUCUGUUGUGACGUCAUGCUGGUAAAAAGAAAAACCUAAAAAAAAAUCUGUAAAGAAUGAAAUACUGGAUCUUCUUUCUGUUCUAGUGUCAUGAAACUACACCAGAGGAUGCCAUUUAAUUUGUAUUGGCCAACGUUGUUCCCCAAACUCAGCUUUCUGUGAACCAAUUCACAGAAAGUGCGUGCGUCACCGUUUUGAAGCCAAUCUGUGGCCGAAGGGGUCGACAACAUCCACACCGAUCCAUCGCUACAAACAUUUAAUGGCCUCUCCAGCCUCUCAUUGUCAUACCGUUUGCUCAUGUGUUGAAGACACGUUAUAUCCUUCCUGUAUUUGUGUGUUUGCCUCCACGCCUACAGACUGUCUGCAGAGCCGGCUCUAAUUGCGUGACAUCUUGUUUUGUAUGCGUUUGUACCGACGUGGUAUUUGAACUCGCUAAGUGAUGCGACAAAACGUGUUGGGGAGGCGGAGUGUUCAGAGUACCUGGGGUUACCAAGGUUACCAAAUUGAAUCGUCCCUUCAGACAGGGCUGAUCUACAUAAUUUGGUGGUAUCAUUCAAAGUGUUUUCACGGCCCGAAUGAUGAAUGGCACCCGCAGAAGAUAAUAUUUCUGCUUGGAUGUAAUAAAUCUUCUGUAAAGUGCUCCACCGCUUAUAUACCAUUGGCGGAGAUGUGGUUGGGAAAGAAUUUCUUCCAUUAUUUUUUUCCAUCUUCACUGUCUUCUGACUCGCUGAUUGUCAUCAUUUGAAUCUCUAAGUAUUGAGUGACUUUCAGCAAUAUCAGUCAGCAAUCUCCAUGUUUACACUGCAAUCACAAGGAAAAGUUUCAAUGUAUUUCAAUGAAUUGAUAUCGCAGAGACGUUUUCCCUGCACUUCUCUUCCUGCUGCUCCUGUACCUGUUGUAUUGAUGGAAGCAUCAACCGGCCUCUUCACAGACAGCUUCAGUGUCCUGCUAUUACCAAACCAGCCCCUGGGUAGUGAACUUGUGACCCACCAUGAGGCUUUGUGCUGCUCAGCGAGGGGCCACGACCCCCACAAGGUGCUGGGAGGCCAGGGACAGUGCGGAGAGCUGUGCGUGUUAUUCAUAGCACCCACGAUGGUCAUGUUUUUUUUGCAUGUGUUUAUCAUGCAUUAAUACUGAUUAUAAAAAAUACAAUAAAAAGUAAGAUCCAGAUGAAGCCUGCGGCAAAAAUAAACAUAUAUGAAGGUUUCUUAUAGAUCUGGAUUCUAGAUUUGUUAGGUUGUGUAUAGAAGCACAGCCACAUAUGCAGAUUAAAGACAAACUGUGGUACUUUUUGUUUAUUUUUAUACAUAAAGUUAUUCUGAGAAAACGUUUAUAAAGAUUACCAAUCAGCAUUGUUUACUAAUUAAGUUUUUUUUCUUCUUUUUUUUGGUCCCUUUCCUCCUAUUAUGCCUGUUUUUAAUAAGCUGAUAGUCAGGUGCACUUGACAGUAAUGAAUGACUGAUUUUAGCUGAUCGUUAUUGCUGCCCUCCUCUCGCCCGCCACGCGCCGCCUGUGUGUGCGCACACCCGCGCGUGAGAGCGUGCGCGCCGUGGCCGCCUAAUAAAAGGGAUAAUUGUUCCAUCUUUGCUUGGAGACACAUAAAGCAGUGUGUAUUGACUGCUUGACAGGCUGUGAUUCCAGGAAAGCUAAUGGCUUCCUCAAUUCUCCUGCUCCAUCCAUCAGGCCCGAGAGCACCCCGUCAUGUUUUCAAUUAAUGAAGAGAAAACCAUAAAAAGUUAAAAGGCAGCGUGACACAUUGGAAGACAGCGUGUACACGCAGUCACACAAGGGCACGCACACACACACACAAUUUGUAAUCACCCAUAUGAAAUAUACAAACAAGCAGACACAGAUUUGCAGCUUGAAAAACUUGAGACUAGAAAGCCCUCUCAGCUCCUUUUACAGUGACACACGCAGACAGCCAAACAACUCUCUCUGUUGUCUGCUGCGGGUUUGAAGCUCGCCUGUGUCUCAACUUCCCACCCUCGGCCUUCUAAUCAUAAAGUAUAUGCAUUCCGACGGUGGGUCUGCAUAGUUUAGGUGCAGCUUUCUGGCUUUAUGUCGCAGAUGAAGGGAAACUUCCGAUCUGCCUAUGUGAGCGAUGGUAAAGCCCUCCAAUUCGGGCAGGAAAUUAUAGAGUAAGUGGCUUUGUGGCUGAUAGUCAAAUGAAGCCAGGGGCGGCUGGAUGCCGGCUCUAAUUAACCGGCUGGCAGGUUUCAGCGAUAUCAGGAAUCCUUCCUGCUAACCUGAUGACAAGACCAAGGUGUGCACAGAAAAAUGCAGGUGAAUGCACACAGACAAACAAAUGAUUAUCUGGAACUAUGCUUUGCAAAAUCAACCCCCGCGUGAAAUUCCUCACCAAAUUCAGCACAGAAAACUGCUUUGUUAAUUACUAAAUAAUCAGAAAACAUGAACUCACUAUUUUUGGUUUCAAAUGCACUCAGCUGAAGAAAUCAUUUUUCUAUAAACAACCCCCUUUCGCUGCCUAAUGACCGUUUAUGUCUGAAGAUACGCAAUCUAACAAUCAUCAGAGCCUUUACAGAAUUAAUUUCAAAUGAUUGACAGUCUGUUGUAUGCGUAUCAGUAAUCUCUGUAAUUCUCCAUUACCUUAUUGGACAGGAAAUAGGGAAAGAAAAUGGGGAAAAUACGGUUCGCAGUGCACAAUCAACCCAGAGAAAAACAAACUAAUUUAACAUGCAGAGAAUUCACUGAUGAUCAAUCAUACAUGAAAACUUAAGGGUGUUUUAAAGGACCUGCUGCAAUAUUGAAUCACUGAUCAAUUCAUUUGGGACUGCAGUUUCUACUGUUACAAUAAAGGGGAAAAUGAGACUUAGAGACGGUGUAUACAGGCUGCCUGUGAGAGAUUUAUGCCUCUUCUUAUGUUUGAUUUGUUAGUCUAAAUCACCAGUGAUGUGAAAGUAAGCAAAAAAAAAAAAAGAAAACGUCACAGUGACAAGAGUGCCGGCUGUGUUCAACAUGACUGCCAUGUUCGAGAAGUCUGCUGGCAGUGUUUACUCCACGUAGCCGUAUAAAACAUUCAUUUCCUCUGGUGGUUUCACCAACAUGAAUCAGGAGAAAUCCUUACAGAGGAGACCUGGAAGCACAUCAUGGCCUGAAAGGGGAUAUUUCUAGAUUUUACUUGCAUGUAUUGAAAUGAAUCUGCUCCUAGCAGUAGAUGCUGCGUAUUUCUCAUUUGGCAGCAAUUGGAGUUCACACAUAAUGCCCCACUGUGUUCUGACCAGCAAUAAAACUAAUAACAUGAACAUUUAACGCGGCGGAAAGAGAAGUUAACUUGGUGAGAACGACUUCAUAGAAAUCAGUUGAGCGCCUUGUGCUGCGCCCCGCACGCCUCUUCACUUUAACCAAACAGAGCUGAAGGUGAGAGAGUUACUGGAGGACAGAUGAAGACGGCGUAAUCAUGCGUGGGAGUGAGAAAUAACCAAAGCUUGUCAAUCACCAUCAGGCGCCCUUCUUCAUGCUUCCGUUUGACUUUCCUCAUUGUUCAGGAUGAGUUCCCGCUCGACAGCCUCUAGGCUUCUUUAUUUAUUUUUAUGUAGUUCUUUUUCACUGCAUGUUGAAAGUGACACAUAUUGCAUUCUGGCUCACUAACACACAUGCAUUUUCAUUGCAAUGUUUUGUUUUUCAGAGGGGAGAGAAAGGAGGGAUGGCAGCUGAGGAUAAAUGCAUUUUUCAUUAUUAUGGAUUCUCUCCACUUCUCCGCUGGCAGCGAGAGCAACCUCUGCUUAAACAUCUCGUUUCUGCCCCUCGGCGCUUCCUUGUGCUUGGACACCGGCCAAGCAGAAAGUAAUUUAAACAUUACAGGAAAUUAAAUCUCACAUUUCCAAUUUUUCCCCUAAAGUUUAAGUACAAUGAAAAUGUCAGCCAUGAAUUAUGGAAUCAAGCUGAAUUUCUCCUCCAAACUUUAAACUGCGAAUGUAACUGUCCUUGACAACAAGGUGGGCACUCGGAGGAUCCACCCCUCCCUCCCUCUGACGGGCUGCUGAAACCAAUCAGAAGGAGACAAAGCAGAAGACAGGAUAACACUGUGUUUCUGGGUUGUGUUUCUGUGGAAUGGAAUAAAAGAUCAGAUGAAAGUGAGAUGCAGUUAUCAUUACAUGUUUACAUCCAAUUUGUGUUUCUCUCCAGUGGUGGGACUCUGCAACUUACGGCUCAACGUAUGUAUUUUCAUGGCAAACUGUUGAAUCUCUCAUAAAGACAUCAUGUCUUUGUGAAAUGUAAUUCUCUAAGCACAGCAUUACUGCAAAGAUAAUACAUCCACUUGAUACGUCUCACACCGAGACCAAAUUAUAUUUACCGCUAAAUCACAUUUCUGAUGGCGCUGCGUUAUUAGAAAAUUGCAUGUUGUGCGUUUGAUUUAUGUCCCAGCAUAUCUAGAGAAGGAAAAAAACAAAACGAAAUCCCCCCCCUCCCACGCUUGCAGGUGAGAUGAGUUCCUGCAGAUUGCUGUUAGUGUCAUCCUCUGGGCUAAGUGUUGUAUAUUAAAGAGACAUGGCAGUGGAUUGUCACCCUGGCGCCCCACCACCUAGCAAUGGGCCAUCUUUAAUUAUGGUCCAACGGAGGUGAAUGCAUCAGAAAAGGCCUGGCAGAGCGACCAGUGUGUGGACUAUUUUAAUUUGCGCCCCGCCCCUAAGUGAGCGAUGCGGCCGGCCUUGACCCUCCUCUGACUGCAUGGAUUAAUGCCUGGUAAUGACUGCUGAGGCUAUCAUUGCGGCGGGCAUCAUUAAUUAUCCUUAUUGAUUGUUACGCUCAGAGAUAAAGCGUUCUGCUGACUGGAAAAUACCCUCCAUGCACAAGGUCACGGUAAAAAAAAAAGAAAAAAGGAGGAAUUGUGUUGAGGCCACCACACGUUAAACAGAAGAUAAAUAUGGCUGCCGCCCGCAGCGGGCCGUACCGUCAAUGUCCAUCUCUCUCCGUCCCGUCCUUCGCCCCUGUCCCACGUCUCCUGAGUCUGUCUCACUAUUUCCUUCCGUCCUGUCAUUUCCUCCCAACUAAGAGAUUCCAAAAAGAAACCAAAGCAGUCUGUGCGCAUGCGCGCAAAGACUAAUGAUAUGCUGGAAAAAAACUGGUGACAAGUGAGGGAGCGUGAGGGAAGGGGGAUGCUGAGCGAGGGAGAGGAAGCAGUUGGAGGAAAGAAGCGCAGGGGGGGUAAAGGGAGCCAGUCGUGAAGUGGGCUGGCAGGCAGCUGUAGUGCUCCGGCAGAUUAAGUUUCCAGGGCUGCUGCCAUAAUGGAGGAGACAGCAGGAAGUCAGGGUUUUAUAUUUACUCUACAACACCCGGUCCUCGUUUCUUUUCUUCAUCUUUGAACAGAACAAGGGCACCUGCCUCUUCCUGCUGUUGGUCUUUGUGCUAAGCUAGCUAAGUACCUUUGUUCCAGACAAGACUGUUGUAUAGUAGUUGUGGUGCAUUAACUGCCAUAGUUAAGGUUAGGCCCGUCCCUUUUACGUUCCAACUGGCUUCAUGCACUACACUACUUCCUGCACUGGCAUGUGUGUAUCAGUGUUUAUGUGUCUGUGUGAGUCUCCUCUUUCAAGCGAGUGUGACAGAAAUGUAUUCUGUCAAAUGCAGGUUGGAGAGGUUGCUGCAGCACCUUGUUCGUCCUCCCUCUUCCCCGAGCCUGUGAUUGGCAUGUCUUCAUAUGUGGAUCGUGUUCUUCCUGUGACUUGCUUCUUUGCAGGACUAGCCAAUGUCAAACAAUAACAAUAAAACAAUAAGUAAAAAUAAAUAACUCCCAAAGCGUGGGACAGGAAGAAGGAAGCAAUAUGAGGACGUACAUUACAUUUCUACAUUGCAGAAAGUCAUUUAUGAACCUUUGCGGCCCACAAAAGAACAUUCAGGCUUUCGUGCUCUUAAAAGUGAUUUAAAGGAUAUAUAGGCUGCUGAUUUUGGGGGUCCUGGUCCAUACAUGCACUUUGUCGGGGUUUCACAAGGCGAUGCAGACGCAGAAGGUGGAGGUAGGGCAGGAUGAAGGCACAGUCUCUCUAUUUUUGGUUAGUACCUGUUUGAAGUAUAUCAGAAGGAGCUUUUCAAGGCCUGGAAAUUCAUUACUGGACAGUAGCUUUGAAAGAGGUCCGUUGGAUGUAUAUGGGUUUCUGUUUUUGAGUGUGUGUGUGUGUGUGUGUGUGUGUGUGUGUGUGUGUGUGUGUGUGUGUCCCAUUGUAUUCAGAAUGGAAUUGCUAAGCAGUAGCCUGAGGCCAUGAGCAGCCAGCUAUGGUCAGGUAUGGCUAGCUAUUACUGCAGGGCAUCAGACUCUCUGGAGAAAAGAUCAUACACACCCAUAUAGUGUGUGUGUGAAUGCAUUUGUGCGACAAAGAAAGACAGAAGAAACACACAAUCUGUGGAGCUUUAUAGGAUAGGAAUCUUUUUUAACUCGGACUGUGAUCGGGUUCAGAGUUAAAACGAUGUUUUGAUCUGUAUCAGAUGAACUGUGCAUGUGUGCAUGUAUGCCAGCAUACAAACGAGAAGCUGAAGGAAAACAGGGGGAGAGUGAAAUCCGACUGCACUGUUUUACAACUAUUGGCAAAUCAAUACGCGACCACAACACUGACAGAAGAAGCCCGUCAGAGGCCAAAGGCUGGUGGUUCGGCUGCAAACACGUUCACGCAGCCAACUGUCGGGGUGUCGUCUUUCUUCCUCUCAUCCUGCUUUUUUUUUAUAACUGUGACCCAACAUUCAUAUACAGCUGUAGGUGUCCGUGGUUUUGAUCAGGCGAGGAGAUCCGUGGGAUAAACGGAAAGUCUCUCCUCCAGGACGGAGAUGAGUGAGACGGGCUCAACAACUCCUGGAGUUCCGGAGUCGCAUCAGACUUCCAUGCACGGAGAAGAAAGUCCCCAUCUCCGGUCAUAAUGCAUGCUAUGUACGCUUCUGAACGUGCAACGUAAUAUAACAUGACUGGUAUUUAUGCAAGAGCUAAGACGAGACAAUCAUCUCACACCAAUGUUUUUCAUAUUAACUUUUUCCUUUGUGCAGAUUUUAGAACCAAUUUUACCGAUUUAGAAUGUUUUGGACUCACAUGUAGGCGGAUGCGACGCAUUAUGCGGGCACACAUGUAUAGUAAACACACUAACACACAUGCAAAACAAUUUGGGAGGUUGGAGGGUGGGUGGGGGGGGGGGCGUAGCAUGAUGCCCAUCUAUCUUUCUGACAUCUCCUAACCCAAUCCCACUGGGGCUAACUGAAUUCAAUCCUCAACAUUAGAUAAGCACAUACCCCCUCCCCUCUACACAUAUGUGUGUGUGUGGGGGGGUGUGUGUGUCUGUGUGUAUAUGUGUUUGAACUUAUCACACACCCAUGGCAGCAGGUUUAGAUUGUUUCUACAGUCAAGUGUUAGUGUGCAGGUCACAUAGCGAGAGGGGGAAUGAGGCAGAAAUCAGGCGGGGAAUAAAAAAAAGCCGACAAGCCCGGCAGACAAAGAGAGACCCUGGACGGAGGCAGAGGGAGAAGGAGACGUUGGACAUUGCCUCUCCGUUGGGAGUCCAUCCUCUGUUUUCACCCCUCGCCCCUUUCUCCCCACUCUACCACCCUCACAUUUUCUGCCCCCUGCCUCGCAGCCGCCCUCCCCACCGCUCCGAUUCUCCCCUCUCGGCAGCUAUCUGCUUAUUGUCUUGGCUUCUUGGUGCCUAUCAGGCCCAUCGCUUCACGUUUCCAUCAAACGCAGCAUUUAUCUUAUCAUUGCUUUGACAACUGCCUAUUAGUCCCAAAGAGUCCAGGGGCUCUGUGUUCCCAUGGCGAUGACAUGGCGACAUUGCCGGGCUGCUCUGAACCUCCUGCUGAGGAAGUGGACCCUUUCCCUCUACGCCGCUCACCCUGCACAUCCCUCUGCCCCCCGUUUUCUCCUCCUUUGGCAACAGCGCCCGACACCCCACCAACUCUUCAAGGGUGUGUGCAACGUUUGGGGAAUCCAACUCUCUCUCUCUCUCGUGUUGUAUUUGGGGUCGCCAACGAGGCGAGAUUGGAGGCUCAAGAGAUGUUCAACGGACACUUGGUGUCACCUCCCUGCGUUUUUCCGGUCUGGAGGCGGCGAAGUGUCUCGCAUGGAUUUACUUUCUUUCUCUUAUGGAAAAGACAUCAUGCAAAGACGUAAAACAAAGACGAAUCACAUACAAAGACAACUGACUAAUGCAAGCAAGAGAUGUGGACACUGUGGGUCCAAGUUGCCUUAAAGCUGCUGGACCGUGAACCGGAGCUCCCACUGCUGAUGCUUAUCACCUGUGGUAAUAUGUGUAAUUCAAUCCGGAGAGACUUGUUGAACUAUUUCAACCAUGCUUUAUUAUAACAGGCAUAAUAAGAUAUUGCAAGUUGUUUGGGGCUUGGACCAUCCUGCCGCAGGAUAGACCCGGGGCCGGGAUCUCGAGCCGAGACGAGGCAUAUCCCCCCCCUUUGGGAGUCCAGUCACUGGUGGUGGUGGUAGAGCCCAAGUUGCAUAACUCUCCUGAUAUGCCAGGUCCUGCUGUAGAUUGGAGGUGUCCGGGGUGGUGGCGGGUCACCUUUGGAGCGUGCUGAAAUGACAACUGACAGCAAAAGAGAGGAGAACAGUUUUUAACGUUUGCCUGCACCAAUGCGAUUGGUUUACGGUUACGACACCCACGUCUGCUACUACCCGACCCCGCCCCUAAUCAGCUGGCCGUGCACCCCCAGGGAGAGAGAAGGCCACCAGGAAACGGCACAGCCUGUCCAGUCUUCCUGACUGAAUUUUCGCCUAAGCUUCAUACCAAUACCAACCAACAUGAACAGCCGACCUGUGGGUUGUUCACGCAAGAGAUACAUUUGUAUGUUUAGCACGGCCCUCACCCUGCCGACCUUUUUCUAGCCUCUUACGAGCUGCCCGUCUGCCUCUUUUUAAAGAAUAGUGGUGAUUGCAUGGUAACCUGGUAGUUGUUUUGUAAAUAAAUGACGGUGUUGGAACAUGCACUGUGCUGACCAAACUCUGCUGGCACGCUCCUCUUUACUUCUCCUCGUCCCGCUGCCGAUCCGCUGAGAGCGUUCUAAUUCGGCGGUUAACGGGGUCACCAUGCAGAGAGACUGGGACGUCUCGUCUGCUGCUAUCUCUGCACACUCACGUGAUCAAGGAUUCCUUCUAGUCUGUAAUCUGUUAUUUGAAGUUUUCCCUCUAAAAAAAAAAAACAAGCGGUGGAAUGGAGACACUUAGUCACAGUGAUGCACACUCUCGGAGGCAAACACUGUUAUUUUACCUCUUAUCGGCGUGCUAUUUUGUGGUCAGUGACUCAGUGCAUUAGCUGUGAUCUGUGCUCUGCCUCUCUUGCUGGAUCCGCGGGAGAGAGGAAGGGGUCUCUGAGGGCAGCUCGAAGGGGCCCAGCUCUAAUAAUAGAGUGUAAAUCUCAGUCAUUACUGCCCUGACAAGACAAUGUGUCAUCAUUGUCUGGCGCAGAACUCCUCUCCAGUGGAGAGGCUUCAAGUUAACUACUGUUUUUAUUGUGGGCAGCAAAGAAUCCCUUGUAGUUUGGUAAAUGACAGAGUGUGAGGGGAGUUAUGAGCGCAGCACAGACACCACAGGACGUUAGAUUCAAGCUGCUGCAACAGAUAUUAGGAUUUUACAGUGAACUCACGCUUGCUGGCCAUCGAUCCAGACACCUACAUCGAGAACAAAAAGCGUUUGCAAGGUUGAGAGAUUUCCUUGAUACAAAUGUCAGUCGGAGCAAUCCCAGCAAAUUUUAAAACUACUCCACCAGCUUUUUAUAUGAGCACUUUCCGUUGCCGAAGCGGAACACCGAGGGGACUGACGUUCCAUAUCCUGUUUAGCAGGAAAUCAUCAUUGCUCUCAAUAACGGCGGGCCAUAAAAUCACAUUGCAGCGUCCAUCGAUUUUCAUUUCAUAGUAAAUGGCAGGUAACAAACCGCUGGGCCGCCAAGUGAUGCAGCGUAAAUGCGCCUCUGAUAAACAGUUAAAAGAAGUUCAUUCACUCUGCUGAACUGCGGCAGAAAAAUCAACACUAAUCAGAUGAGAGGCAGCAAAACAAAUUCUUCCGUUGCGCUCUCAACACUGAACUCCAGGGAGAGGAGAGGAGAGCAGAGACUUGUUAGGAAGACUGCAACCGGAUUAAAAAGACAAAGGACAGAAGCUAAAGAUAAAGUGGAAAGGCAGCGUGUAUGAAAGCAUUGGAAAUACGUGAGGGAAAUGAAAGGAGGGUAAAGGAAGAUGCUCGGAUACAACAUUGGAUGAAGGGUAUUCAGGAGGAGGAACGGAAAAAAAAAGAAAAAAUUUGGUCUUGAACAAUAAAAUGAAUCCGUAACAUUUGCUUAUUUAGUAGUUUUUGUCCUUUAUCCCGAAUGGUUGUGUUGUUUGAAUGAUCAAUGCAGUAGGUAUCCACGUGUUUACCUCGUAGCCACAACCUACAUAGCCUUUGAAUGACCAUUUUUCAAACAUACUAUUUAUUUCUACAUUCAGCGAGCACCUUCUGGAAACUUGAAUCAAGUAGGCUUGAUCCUUCACAAUGAACAGUUAACUUUGAUUCAUUUUGAAAUGCCAGUAUUAUGUAUACAUUCACCGUGAUAGAUUACUUACUUUAAGUACAUUCUAAGUCUAUGAAAGUUGAUAUUCUCCGCUGGCACAAAGUCAAACAAACGGCCCGCCAAAAAAAGUCGGAUAUCCAGCCAGAGCUCCGGGGAUGCUUUGGAAAUUGGAUGGCAAGUAAGUGCUACUGCAAUGGUUUGUAGACUACAGCAGGUAAGAGUUUGAAAAAAUAAAUAUUUAACCCCCCCUUAUAUAUCUCCCUUUUCCAGUUUGUUUUCUUGUUGUCUCGUGUCUCUUGGCUUUGUGCUCUUUCCGAAGGAAAAUGCCAGAUCAACAGAAACGUCACAUCCAGGAUAAGGGGGCUUACUUUGGUAUCUUCUAAUUGAAGUGCCUUGCUACCUUAGUGUCUGACAGCUCCUUUUGACAAGUGAUGUGUUUUUUGAAAGUCUAUCAGCUUUCUUUGGCUCUGAGUGCAAUAGACAGCAGAGAUCAGUGUGGGUCAAGCUGAAUGCUGGUCUCUAUACGGACCUGCUGCUGCCUCCUGCCAUCAUGAAGCUUGUCAUUCAUUUCAUCGUUAAUCCUGGCUUCCUCUUUCAGCGGAUACGUUCUCUUCAGCGUGCUUUUCCUCCUUCAAGUACCAAACGAGCCGACCUCACAUGGAGUUCACCUGCCUGUGUUGUUUAGCCAAUGUUUGAGGCUGUAUUAAACGCUGUCGUUAUGUGAUCAAUGGGUCACACGACUCACUGUAACCGCUACGCGAAGCUGGAUGGAUGCUGCAGCAUCUUCCAGCUCAUUGGUUUGGUUUUUUAUUGCAUGUUUGGAUUCAUCUCUCACUGUCUCAUGUACUGUUUUUAGUUAAAACUAUUUUACCACAACGUAAACCUAUUUUGUCGCUCACUGUCUGUAUAUUUAGCCCUUGUGUUAUAUAUAAUUAUGGUUCACAGAAACAUUUGAUCUUAACAUUUGUAACAUUUGGGGGUUUUUGCACUGGAUUUUAGUCUGUUUUUUGGUGUUUGACUAUGCUUGUGUGUAGCUAGUAAUUAUUUUAAGUCAUCAUUAGGGCACUGUUCUGUUUUUAGGUUAACAUGGCGUGUAAGCUACAUAUCAACUGAUUACAAAGUGAUUGAAAGAGAGCCCCAAUAAACAUAUUGAAUGCUACCUGCCCAGCUAUGGAACAUAAUGUAGCAUUGAGGAGCCCAGUGGCCGUGUUUUUAGUUGUUGGAGACCAAAACCAAAGGGAACAAAUUAUGUAUAAUGUAUAAUGUAAUGUAUAAAGUGUCUUCUCGAUGGGUUUUGUUUGCCACAAAAACUUUAUAUGGUAACAUCUUAUUUUUCGUUUGCUAUUGUAAGUGACCUUAAAAGAAAUGAUCAGCUGCCUUAUAAAAUAAAUGAUGUUUUUCUCUUGUUGUUGUGCAAAUGAUAACCCCGACCAGAGAGUAGAUGGUUAUGGUGGCAUAACAUCUGUACAGAUGGUCUGCGGAUGAAAUACUGGCUAAAUAAUGCAUGCAACAUCAACAUCAGAGGAAGCAAUUUGCAUCCUGCCUCUUUCCAACUGUAAGCUGGGUUUUCAUUUACCAUAACCACCGUGUUCCCCAACCCAAAGCAAGUCAUUUUAACUACUACAACACAAGCAAACCUUCUAUCACAUAUCAUCCACAUAAAUACUUGAACUGAUCACUUUUGGCACAGUUAUAAAAACACGAACUGACAAAAUAAUCAUUCAGUCAUUUAGCUAUGGAGACUAUAAGGAUUCAGUUCUGACUCUUCCUUCCCUUUACAUAAAAAUGUUUUGCGAUACUGCAUGACUUUUUCAGAUGUACCACAUCAUGCCUGGAUCCUGGAAUGUUUAGAUUCAAGAACACGAUGUCUCAUUUGGUCCAUUGGGCUCCUUGUGGUGCAGUACAAAGCUCAUCCACGCUGCAGCUUCUGUAUAAUCCCAUCUUUGCCUAGACUAUUCUGCAUUGCCCCAUCAACAGCACGACAGCGGACCUUCACUUAUAUCCUUGACCAGCGCACACAGCCCGUGCUCAUCAUUGGAAGACAGCCACGUCCACAUGGAAUGGAAACAUAGUUGGAUACAAGUCUGAAAAAUGUCAUAAAUUUUACUCCCUCUCUCUGCCUGUCCUUGGCGUCUUCCCACCUUCCCACUCCAGCUCUCUGUGUGAUAUUAUGAAGAACAGAUUUUCCAGAGAGGAAAUGAAAGGAUUUGCUAUAGCAGAGAAGAACGAAGGAGAGUAAGAGAAAGAGAUCAGAGGCCCAAUGUUGAGGCUCGGUCUCCCGGCACCGAGGAACGAGCCACCCAGCAGCCUUCACAGGGCCGCUUAAAUCCACAUGCAGGUCGCAUUACCGCUCUCCUUCAUCCAUGUUUACUGGCAUGUUAAAGAUUGUAAUAACAUCGGUCAGGACAGAGAUUUUUAAUUUGGAUGUGUUUCUCUUUUUUUUUGAAGGGUUUGUUAGCCAGCUGUGGCGAGGAGAGAAACAGUCAGAAAGAGACAGAUGCUGGCACCGCGGAGCGACCACAUUUGGACCGAGAUGAGUGCGAGGCCUGCAAGGUCAUGCUCUAUAAACACUCUCAAAAUCAGGAUGCUAGACUUUUGUUAUACAUGCUAUGUUCAGUCAACAAUUUGUGCACGUCUUCAUGUUUUCAGUGGUCAUUUGAGGUAAAAUAAUAAACGCGGUUGGAGUUGUGACAGUGAACAUUCAAACAACGGCUAGAAAACGGCAACCCACAAACAGGCCAGUCGGAUAUCUCUUCCAUUUC
ensembl:lncRNA